rnacentral:snoRNA from 1 species
AUCCUUUUGUGGUUCAUAAGCAUGAUGAAUGGGUGUUCACGUGAUUGUGUGAGAUGUGCCUCCCUCAAACCUCGUUACAACAUUGGCACAUUACCCAUCUGAAG